GGGUUUUCCUGCUCUGAUCUAUGAAUCUGCUUGUUACAAGCGGUAAUUGCUUCUUUAUUCAUAUCUCAAUUCCUUAUGUUCCAAAUCUAUACAACGGUUAUAAAGUAUGCUGGAAGAAUUAUCUGCCUGUUAUUUUUGCAAAGCCUGUCCUGCAUGAUAAUGGAAUAAUUUGAAUUUACUGUAAAUUCACAUUAUUUGUUAUCAUUAAACAAUAUAAAAAUAAAGCUGUUUUGUGGUGAAAAAAAAACAUGAAUUUAGACUUCCCACAAGUUGUCCGUCUUUCAGGAAUUUCAUGCAAGUUUAUCAUAACACUGUAAGAACAUAAUUCAGCAUUUUAGGAAGCUUAUGGUGGGCUUAUGGUGGCUUAUUGUUUCAUCAACACUAACUGCUGUUUGUGCUGUUUCUCCCACUGUUUCUUUGUGUUCGAGUAUAUUCUCUGGCCAAAGGAGACAUGUCUGUCCAUCAUCCUCCUGCCUGCCUCUGCUUUCAAAAGGAUGAGACCUCUUCAAGGCCCUUUAUCCAGGUCACUCCUAAAGGUGCUGUCUGUUAAAGAAGACUUAAAGGAAAUCUCAUCUGAAAAAAGGGUAAGUGUUAAAAUUUUCCCUACUGUCAUGGCCACGUGUGAUUCCAAGUGUGAGAGAUCCUGAUGGCCAGCUGUCCUACUCUAUUAUUGAAGUGCCUUUCAAGAGCUCAUCUUCUUAUCCACUCAAGGGGGAAAUUACCAACAUCUGUACAUAGCAUAACAAUAUGUUCAUUUUGUAUCAGAUAAUACAGCCAGUACUGCAUAAGAAUAUAAAUAAAUGGUGAAUUUUACAAUGACUUGUAGUCUGG
ensembl:lncRNA